UGAUACUGGGAUUCGGUACUGCAUGUACAGGAUAGGUGGGAGACUUUGAUGACAGGACGCCAGUCUUGUCGGAGUCGCUGUUGGGAUACCACCCUUGUGGUACUGGAUUUCUAACCAACCUCCGUGACCCGGAGGUGGGACAAUGUCAGGUGGGGAGUUUGACUGGGGCGGUCGCUCCGAAAGGGUAUCGGAGGCGCUCAAAGGUUCCCUCAGAAUGGUUGGAAACCAUUCAAAGAGUGCAAAGGCAGAAGGGAGCUUGACUGCGAGACCGACGGGUCGAGCAGGUACGAAAGUAGGACUUAGUGAUCCGGUGGUAGAAAGUGGGAUUGCCAUCGCUCAACGGAUAAAAGCUACCCUGGGGAUAACAGGCUUAUCACUCCCAAGAGUUCACAUCGACGGAGUGGUUUGGCACCUCGAUGUCGGCUCAUCGCAUCCUGGGGCUGAAGUAGGUCCCAAGGGUUGGGCUGUUCGCCCAUUAAAGCGGUACGCGAGCUGGGUUCAGAACGUCGUGAGACAGUUCGGUCCCUAUCCGGCGCGGGCGUAGGAUAUUUGAGAGGAGCUGCCCUUAGUACGAGAGGACCGGGGUGGACUGGCCUCUGGUGUAUCUGUUGAGC
rnacentral:rRNA from 1 species